rnacentral:rRNA from 1 species
AUGGAGUGCAUCCUCAAGAUUGUGUUCUGGAACGUCCGUGGCCUUCACUCUAGGGCUAAGCGCACCGCAGUCCGCUCUAUAAUUUCCUCGGUUUCACCGAACGUUGUGUGUCUUCAAGAAACGAAGCUCGAUUCGUUCUUGUUGCCCCUUGUCGUGGAGACGCUCGGCUCAUGCUUCUUGGAUUACUUCUUCCUCCCGGCCUCCAGUACCUGGGGCGGCAUCCUUCUUUCUUGGAACCGUAACGAGAUUGCUAUCUCCAGCUCCUACAUCAGUCAGCACCACAUCACGACCCUCAUUUCUACCACUUCGGGCACGCACCCCUGGUGGAUCACCGGGGUCUAUGGCCCGUAG